AAUGGCAAAGAAGCCGUAAUCCCAGAGCGUCUACCUAAGCGCUCGCGACUGUUAUUCGGGCGCGGACCGCGACAGAGGGAAGACGCGCGGAAAUUAAGUGAUCCACGCGCAUGCGCGUAGAUUGUAAAUUGGAUGGCCAGGAUUCCAUCUCUUUCGGAUGUGUAAACUGCUCUGGGACCCUAAAAGUCUAUCGGUAGACUCCAUACAUAAAUGGAUGGUUCCUUUCCAGCAAUCCCACAAACCUUUGGAACAAUUGCAGCUUUCUGUUAGCUACGGAUGGAGAUCUCUUCUCCACACCACCCCAUCUUGCCUCACUUUUCCAGCUCACCUGCACGAUGAAAGUCGUCUUUACUACCAAACCAACUAUUUUUAAGAGUGCUGCCUUAACGUGAAAAGAGUUUUGUCCUUUUUUGCCACCUAGAGCAGAAUUGUGUUCAGCCACUUCCACUGGAUGGAGGAACAAUCAAGUCAGGACAGAAUACACAAGUGCGCUAUCCUGAAAAUAAAAUCAAAUUCAUAGGAGUUUGGCUUAUCCUUUCAUGCAAACUGGUUGUUUUCUUCAAAUUUCCAUACUGAAAAGCAACAUACAAACAUUUCAAACACAUCAACACACGGACUCCUGCUCCAAAUCCUUACUACAGCUGUAAUAGUAAUUUCCCCAAUAACCUUCCCCUUUCCAGUACACUUCAGAUUGCUGGAUGGAGUC